rnacentral:tRNA from 1 species
GCGCCUAUAGCUUAAUUGGAUAGAGCACUGGUUCCCGAGGCCUGUAAUUCCGGUUCAAGUCCGGAUAGGCGCA